rnacentral:rRNA from 1 species
GGGCGUUAAGUUGCAGGGUAUAGACCCGAAACCCGGUGAUCUAGCCAUGGGCAGGUUGAAGGUUGGGUAACACUAACUGGAGGACCGAACCGACUAAUGUUGAAAAAUUAGCGGAUGACCUGUGGCUGGGGGUGAAAGGCCAAUCAAACCGGGAGAUAGCUGGUUCUCCCCGAAAGCUAUUUAGGUAGCGCCUCGUGAAUUCAUCUCCGGGGGUAGAGCACUGUUUCGGCUAGGGGGCCAUCCCGGCUUACCAACCCGAUGCAAACUGCGAAUACCGGAGAAUGUUAUCACGGGAGACACACGGCGGGUGCUAACGUCCGUCGUGAAGAGGGAAACAACCCAGACCGCCAGCUAAGGUCCCAAAGUCAUGGUUAAGUGGGAAACGAUGUGGGAAGGCCCAGACAGCCAGGAUGUUGGCUUAGAAGCAGCCAUCAUUUAAAGAAAGCGUAAUAGCUCACUGGUCGAGUCGGCCUGCGCGGAAGAUGUAACGGGGCUAAACCAUGCACCGAAGCUGCGGCAGCGAACGUAUCACCCAAGACAACUUUACGGAGUUGACGAUUGACGGAGCGAAGCGACGUCAAAGCGUUCAUUAAAGUCGAGUUGGCUUAGGGAUACGUUCGUUGGGUAGGGGAGCGUUCUGUAAGCCUGUGAAGGUGUGUCGUGAGGCAUGCUGGAGGUAUCAGAAGUGCGAAUGCUGACAUAAGUAACGAUAAAGCGGGUGAAAAGCCCGCUCGCCGGAAGACCAAGGGUUCCUGUCCAACGUUAAUCGGGGCAGGGUGAGUCGACCCCUAAGGCGAGGCCGAAAGGCGUAGUCGAUGGGAAACGGGUUAAUAUUCCCGUACUUGGUGUUACUGCGAAGGGGGGACGGAGAAGGCUAUGUUGGCCGGGCGACGGUUGUCCCGGUUUAAGCGUGUAGGUGUGUGUUCCAGGUAAAUCCGGUUCACUUUAACACUGAGGCGUGACGACGAGGCACUACGGUGCUGAAGCAACAAAUGCCCUGCUUCCAGGAAAAGCCUCUAAGCAUCAGGUAACACGAAAUCGUACCCCAAACCGACACAGGUGGUCAGGUAGAGAAUACCAAGGCGCUUGAGAGAACUCGGGUGAAGGAACUAGGCAAAAUGGUGCCGUAACUUCGGGAGAAGGCACGCUGACACGUAGGUGAAGUGAUUUACUCAUGGAGCUGAAGUCAGUCGAAGAUACCAGCUGGCUGCAACUGUUUAUUAAAAACACAGCACUGUGCAAACACGAAAGUGGACGUAUACGGUGUGACGCCUGCCCGGUGCCGGAAGGUUAAUUGAUGGGGUCAGCGCAAGCGAAGCUCCUGAUCGAAGCCCCGGUAAACGGCGGCCGUAACUAUAACGGUCCUAAGGUAGCGAAAUUCCUUGUCGGGUAAGUUCCGACCUGCACGAAUGGCGUAAUGAUGGCCAGGCUGUCUCCACCCGAGACUCAGUGAAAUUGAACUCGCUGUGAAGAUGCAGUGUACCCGCGGCAAGACGGAAAGACCCCGUGAACCUUUACUAUAGCUUGACACUGAACAUUGAGCCUUGAUGUGUAGGAUAGGUGGGAGGCUUUGAAGUGUGGACGCCAGUCUGCAUGGAGCCGACCUUGAAAUACCACCCUUUAAUGUUUGAUGUUCUAACGUGGACCCGUAAUCCGGGUUGCGGACAGUGUCUGGUGGGUAGUUUGACUGGGGCGGUCUCCUCCUAAAGAGUAACGGAGGAGCACGAAGGUUGGCUAAUCCUGGUCGGACAUCAGGAGGUUAGUGCAAUGGCAUAAGCCAGCUUGACUGCGAGCGUGACGGCGCGAGCAGGUGCGAAAGCAGGUCAUAGUGAUCCGGUGGUUCUGAAUGGAAGGGCCAUCGCUCAACGGAUAAAAGGUACUCCGGGGAUAACAGGCUGAUACCGCCCAAGAGUUCAUAUCGACGGCGGUGUUUGGCACCUCGAUGUCGGCUCAUCACAUCCUGGGGCUGAAGUAGGUCCCAAGGGUAUGGC